rnacentral:rRNA from 1 species
CCUACGGGUGGCAGCAGUCGAGAAUCAUUCACAAUGGGCGAAACCCUGAUGGUGCGACGUCGCGUGGGGGAAUGAAGGUCUUCAGAUUGUAAACCUCUGUUAUGUGGGAGCAAAUUAAAAAGAUAGUACCACAAGAGGAAGAGACGGUUAACUCUGGGCCAGCAGCCGCGGUAACACAGAGGUCUCAAGCGGGGUUCGGAAUCACUGGGCGUAAAGCGUGCGUAGGGUGUUAUGUAAGUCGCGUGUGAAAGGCGCGGGCGCAACCCGCGGACGGCACAUGAUACUGCGAUCCUAGAGUAAUGGAGGGGGAUGCGGAAUGCGCGGUGUAGCAGUGAAAUGCGUAGAUAUCGAGAGGAACACUCGUGGCGAAGGCGGGUUCCUGGACAUUAACUGACGCUGAGGCACGAAGGCCAGGGGAGCGAAAGGGAUUAGAUACCCGGGUAGUC